rnacentral:tRNA from 1 species
ACCUGGUUGGCUCAGGCGGUAGAGUACGUGACUCUUGAUCUUGGGGUGAUGAGUUCGAGCCCCAUGUUGGGUG